AAAAAUUCUUUUUGAGCUGCACUUCUCCCUGAUUAAGUAUUUAAUCCUCACCUAAAGGUCUCUCUAAAGUUGAGGUCUUGAAAAAUUCCUUCUUGGUGUAUCUUCCAAAUAGAAAUGCACUGUUAAAGCUUUCGUACAAUAAGAACACAUUUGGAAUUACGUAUCUGAUUCAUUGCUACAGUUUACAACUAGAACCUAGGAGUUUCCACUGAAAACUGAGAUAAUCACUCAUGGUAAUUUAAGAAUCGUAACUUUUCUGGAUGUUUCCUACUACCAUCAUAUUUGUAGAAAAUAGGAAAUACCUGUUUUAAAAAGAUUCCACAGAAAUGUGUUUAAUAUAUAUCACUAUGCACAAAUAGAUGCACAAAUUUAUACUGUCUUUUGUCAUUGUUUUUUUUUUUUUUUUUUUUUAGAUGGAGCCUGGCUCUGUCACCCAGGCUGGAGUGCGGUGGUGUAAUCUCAGCUCACUGCAACCUCCACCUCUCGGGUUCAAGCAAUUCUCCCGCCUCAGCCUCCCGAGUAGCUGGGAUUACAGGGGCCCGCCAUCGUGCCCAGCUAAUAUUUGUAAUUUUGUAGAGAUGGGGUUUCACCGUGUUGGCCAGGCUGGUUUUGAACUCCUGAUCUCAGUUGUACAAUUUUGCAAUAAUCUUCCAUGGAGUUCAUGACCAGAGGAUGACUAGACCUUGAGAAGUAUUUGAAGAAGGGGUCAAGGUGGGAGCCAAGGCAACCAUCUGAAACAGCUGGCCUGCCUGGGCAUGUCUGAGCCAGAUGUCUACUUCUGGUCCAGAGUUAGAAUUAUGUAUAAAAUCAGGCUGGAGUGUAAUGGCGUGACCUCGGCUCACUGCAACCUCUGCCUCACGAGUUCAAGUGAUUCUCCUGCCUCAGUCUCCCGAGUAGCUGGGAUUACAGGCAUGCGCCACCACACCCAGCUAAUUUUGUAGUUUUAGUAGAGAUGGGGUUUCUCCAUGUUGGUCAGGCUGGUCUCGAACUCCCGGCUCCAGGUGAUCCAUCUGCCUUGGUCUCCCAAAAUGCUGGGAUUGCAGGCAUGAGCCACAGCGCCUGGCCUACUCAUACGUCUAUAUUUGUUGCAGAAAAUGAUAAAGCGUUCAAUAAAAUAAUUCUAUGCAGUAGAAUAAAUUUUUUGUGGAAGUGAAAUAGAACUAUGCGUUCAAAGAAAAAAAAGAACAGUCAAAGAUUUCCAGAUGCUACGAAUGAACAUGUUCAUGAAUAAUUCUAUAUGGAUGAUGGCAGGGAUCAAAUUGCCAUUAUAUUUUCAAUUUCAUCGAAUAUGUUGUUAAAAUUGAUAGAUUUUAUUUCAAAAUAUUUCUGUUUAUAAUGUACCAAAGAUUAUACACCAUUUACAACUAUUACAAUGAAAACAUUUAAAUGUCAACCUAAAACAUUUACAAGUGAGUUCCUAGUUUUUGAAAAUUAUAUAAAAGGCAAUUGAAAAAAGAAAAAAACACUGUCUUGGAACACAUAUAUCCCUGUAACCAUCCACCUAGAAUUUG
rnacentral:lncRNA from 10 species